CCUACGGGUGGCAGCAGUGAGGAAUAUUGGUCAAUGGACGAGAGUCUGAACCAGCCAAGUAGCGUGAAGGAUGACUGCCCUAUGGGUUGUAAACUUCUUUUAUAAGGGAAUAAAGUGAGCCACGUGUGGGAUUUUGUAUGUACCAUAUGAAUAAGGAUCGGCUAACUCCGUGCCAGCAGCCGCGGUAAUACGGAGGAUCCGAGCGUUAUCCGGAUUUAUUGGGUUUAAAGGGAGCGUAGGUGGAUUGUUAAGUCAGUUGUGAAAGUUUGCGGCUCAACCGUAAAAUUGCAGUUGAAACUGGCAGUCUUGAGUACAGUAGAGGUAGGCGGAAUUCGUGGUGUAGCGGUGAAAUGCUUAGAUAUCACGAAGAACUCCGAUUGCGAAGGCAGUUCACUGGACUGCAACUGACACUGAGGCUCGAAAGUGUGGGUAUCAAACAGGAUUAGAUACCCUGGUAGUC
rnacentral:rRNA from 1 species